CAGCAGAGCUGCUCCAUCCCCCUGCUCAGCCUGGUGCCUCCUCUGGAUAUUCCAACAGAAAGCAUCCAGCAGGCACUGAAACGUGUCAAAAUCCUCUCCCACAACUGAAGGACAAUGGAAUCAACCUAUAAAUCAUGGUGCUCUUUGGCAAAAAUGAAUUAAGCUUGGCUUCAGAUUUUGUACCCUGGUCUUGCCAAGUGGGGUAGAUUGUGUUUGCUUGGUGGUUUGGUGUGGUUAAGCAAAUAUUUUAAAAGUAAAUAUCUAUGCUUAAUUAAGUAUCACCAUUGUUUAUGUUUAAAUAAAAUAUGUUUAAAUUAC